CAAAUCUGGAAUUCAUAUCCUCUGCAGCUAACUCGGGGGAUGAAUGGAAAAACGGGCCUUUGGCAUCACUCCCACCCCAAAGACUUCCAAACCAGCCUUCGGAGCGUGUUCCCAAGAGUGAGAAGACAGCAGGAAAGCGCAACACGUCCAUGCGUCUACAGGUGCGAGCCCCUCGUG